GAUAAACGCUGACAGAAUGCUUAACACAUGCAAGUCGAUGAUGGGAAGCUAAGCCUAGCUUAGAAGAAGUCAUGGCGGACGGGUGAGUAACGUGUAAAGAACUUGCCCUCUAGACUGGGAUAACAGAUAGAAAUGUCUGAUAAUACCGGAUAUUAUUGUUACAUGGCAUCAUGUAGGAAUGAAAGGAUAAGAUCGCUAGAGGAGAGCUUUGCAUCCUAUUAGCUAGUUGGUAAGGUAGCGGCUUACCAAGGCGAUGAUAGGUAGCCUGCCUGAGAGGGUGGACGGCCUCAUUGGGACUGAGACACGGCCCAA
rnacentral:rRNA from 1 species